rnacentral:tRNA from 1 species
GGUUCCGUAGUGUAGUGGUUAUCACGUUCGCUUCACACGCGAAAGGUCUCGGUUCGAUCCCGGACGGAACCA